rnacentral:lncRNA from 1 species
GGUCUCCAAAAAUAUUUCAGUCUAGUGUUGUCCAUGGAUCGAAAACAGUCAGUUUCGGGUCUAAAUUGACGGUUCACAAUUCACUAAGAAGAUGAACCGUGAUCGGCCCGUUAAGAGGAGAAAGGCUGGUUCUGGGGCUAAAUCGCCGAUUUUUGUCUUUUUUUUUAUGUAUUGUGUAUAGUUUUUUAUUUUAUUUUAUUUAUUUUAUUUUAUGAAAUUACACUAUAUG